rnacentral:rRNA from 1 species
AGGGGGGGGUCCUAUCAUGCAGUCGAGCGAAUGGAUUAAGAGCUUGCUCUUAUGAAGUUAGCGGCGGACGGGUGAGUAACACGUGGGUAACCUGCCCAUAAGACUGGGAUAACUCCGGGAAACCGGGGCUAAUACCGGAUAACAUUUUGAACUGCAUGGUUCGAAAUUGAAAGGCGGCUUCGGCUGUCACUUAUGGAUGGACCCGCGUCGCAUUAGCUAGUUGGUGAGGUAACGGCUCACCAAGGCAACGAUGCGUAGCCGACCUGAGAGGGUGAUCGGCCACACUGGGACUGAGACACGGCCCAGACUCCUACGGGAGGCAGCAGUAGGGAAUCUUCCGCAAUGGACGAAAGUCUGACGGAGCAACGCCGCGUGAGUGAUGAAGGCUUUCGGGUCGUAAAACUCUGUUGUUAGGGAAGAACCAGUGCUAGUUGAAUAAGCUGGCACCUUGACAAUACCUCACCAGAAAGCCACGGCUAACAACGUGCCACAAGCCGCAGUGCUACUUAGGUGGG